GUGGUUGUGAGUACUGGUUGCCCUUCCAGAGGACUUGGGUUCAAUUCCCAGCAACCACA
rnacentral:tRNA from 1 species